AAUUUUAUCACCCUCUCUAGACAGUGAUAACUGGUGGAGGUAAUCAUACCAUCAUUGACCAGUGAUUGUCGUGAAUGGCCAAGCCCGACAGUCACUUACUGACAUUGAAACAAGCCAGACCGAACGUAAGUUUGCGACGUAAAGGUAAACAUCGAUAAAAUAAACAUUACAUUUUACGAGGGACAGCAUUCGGCCCAUCUCAAAUUGUGCAAACCUCAAAUCGCUAGAACGGGGUGAAAUCACUGACUGUUACGAAAGAGAGAUUUAGUUUUCAGUGGAAAUGGGAAGCAAACUGUCUCGACAAGAGACGCCUUGUCUCAAAUCAGAAAAUGUUAUCAGCCCACAAACGGAAUCGGAGCCAAAAUUGGAUCAAAGGCAGGAAGUCGUUGAGGAAGUUGUACAAGUGAAACAGGUUUCACAAGCGUUCAACGUAAUAUCGGCCCCAACGAUCUGUCCACCGGGUUAUCAGAGGGAUCACAAAGGGCAGUGUCGUAAAAUAGCGAACUUUUGAUGAUACCUGCAUCUUUAUCACAAUUGGUAUGCCAUUAGAUAAGAAGCUCUCUUACGAUAAUUUAUAUGUCGAUCAAUAAAAUCACAAUACUAGAUUUAUAAUUUCAUCAAUUGAACAAUAAACCAGUGAAGCUUUAACGAA